rnacentral:rRNA from 1 species
AUUGAACGCUGGCGGCAGGCCUAACACAUGCAAGUCGAACGAGUGGCGGACGGGUGAGUAAUGUCUGGGAAACUGCCUGAUGGAGGGGGAUAACUACUGGAAACGGUAGCUAAUACCGCAUACCAUCGGAUGUGCCCAGAUGGGAUUAGCUAGUAGGUGGGGUAAAGGCUCACCUAGGCGACGAUCCCUAGCUGGUCUGAGAGGAUGACCAGCCGAACUGGAAGUGAGAAACGGUCCAGACUCCUACGGGAGGCAGAAGUGGGGAAUAUUGAACAAUGGGCGCAAGCCGGAUGCAGCCAGGCCGCGGGUAUGAAGAAGGCCUUCGGGUUGUAAAGUACUUGCAGCGGGGAGGCGUUACCCGCAGAAGAAGCACCGGCGAACUCCGUGCCAGCAGACGCGGUAAUUC